rnacentral:tRNA from 1 species
GCGAAAGUAGCUCAGUUGGUAGAGCACGACCUUCCCAAGGUCGGGGUCGCGGGUUCGAACCCCGUUUUUCGCU